rnacentral:rRNA from 1 species
CUGUGAAGCGGAGCAAAUCUCAAAAACCGGUCCCAGUUCGGAUUGUAGGCUGCAACUCGCCUACAUGAAGUCGGAGUUGCUAGUAAUCGCGGAUCAGAAUGCCGCGGUGAAUGCGUUCCCGGGUCUUGUACACACCGCCCGUCACACCAUGGAAGUUGGGGGCGCCCGAAGUUGCCUAAGAAAUAAGGUACCUAAGGCGAAACCAAUGACUGGGGUGAAGUCGUAACAAGGUAAC